rnacentral:rRNA from 1 species
AUUGAACGCUGGCGGCAUGCCUUACACAUGCAAGUCGAACGGCAGCACGGGUGCUUGCACCUGGUGGCGAGUGGCGAACGGGUGAGUAAUAUAUCGGAACGUACCUUAUCGUGGGGGAUAACGCAGCGAAAGCUGCGCUAAUACCGCAUACGCCCUGAGGGGGAAAGCGGGGGACCGUAAGGCCCCGCGCGAUUGGAUAUGCCCAGGUGGGAUUAGCUUGUUGGUGAGGUAAUGGCUCACCAAGGCGACGAUCCGUAACUGGUCUGAGAGGAUGAUCAGUCACACUGGAACUGAGACACGGUCCAGACUCCUACGGGAGGCAGCAGUGGGGAAUAUUGGACAAUGGGCGAAAGCCUGAUCCAGCCAUGCCGCGUGUGUGAAGAAGGUCUUCGGAUUGUAAACCUCUUUUAGCAGGGAAGAAGCGAAAGUGACGGUACCUGCAGAAAAAAGCAACCGGCUAACUACGUG